AUGAAUUCAAGACUCCAUAGUCCAUAUCACGACAUGAUUCCAAAUGAAAGUUCUGAAAGUAGGUAUCAUGGUUCGAGUUUCAUAGCAUACAAAUUUUGAGAUUCUUAAGAACCAAUUCAGGCAUUACAAGGCAUUCAAGUUCCAUGUUGAUUUCAAGAUACAAACAUAUUCAACAAUUUAAAAAAAAAAUCAAAUCAAGAUUCAAUUUACAUGUUCAUUCAAGAGGUAUCCAAUAUUCCAUUUCCCCCCAAAAUUACAAUCAAAAUUCAUUCAAAUUGAAGUCAAUGUCCAAUGUUUGA